CCGAGUUGAUUCGGGCUCCGGCCCGAUCCUCCCACCCUUUGUGUACCUACCUCUGUUGCGUUGGCGGGCCGCGGUCCCCCGCGGCCGCCCCCCCUCCUCGGGGGUGGGCUAGUGCCCGCCAGAGGACCAUCAAACUCCAGUCAGUGAACGUCGCAGUCUGAAAAAACAAUUCAAUAAACUA
rnacentral:misc_RNA from 1 species